UACGUAGGGUGCAAGCGUUGUCCGGAAUUAUUGGGCGUAAAGAGCUCGUAGGCGGUUUGUCGCGUCGAAUGUGAAAACCCGGGGCUCAACCCCGGGCCUGCAUUCGAUACGGGCAGACUAGAGUUCGGUAGGGGAGUCUGGAAUUCCUGGUGUAGCGGUGAAAUGCGCAGGAUAUCAGGAAGAACACCCGUGGCUAAGGCGGCUCUCUAGUACGGUACUGACGCUGAGACGCGAAAGCGUGGGGAGCGAACAG
rnacentral:rRNA from 1 species